rnacentral:rRNA from 1 species
GCGAAAACCUUGCCCAGAGCCGAGGAAAGAGAGCGAACACGCUUGAGAGUAUCUCCCAGUUGUUGCCUCUUAGAACCUGAAGAGUAGGUAGAGAUAAAUGAUUCCAAAAUAUCAUCUAAGGCAACCCCCAUGAGACCAUCGCUAAACUCUCCUGCGGAAGCCAAAGAACCACCAACGAUUUCUCCGUAGCGGAAAGCAGCCUCUCCGAUUUCAGUAGUGAGUCGGUCAUCAUCAGCAGGAAUUCCCAAAACUUCAGUGCAAAAUGCUGCGGUAAUGUUGUUAUUGUCUGCGUCAGAAAUAACCAUAUAGGUAGGGGUGUUGUUUUCAUUGUUAAGAAUUUCAAUGCGUCCAAUAUCGUAUCCAAUAUCUUGAAUGGUUACUUGUUCGUCAAAAGACUGAUUUCGUUGCUCAAAAAUUUGUUCC